rnacentral:piRNA from 1 species
CUAGGUUGUAGGUUUAGGAGGGGAAUA